rnacentral:rRNA from 1 species
UCUGGGAUAAGCCCGGGAAACUGGGUCUAAUACCGGAUAUAACCACUGGUCGCAUGGCUGGGUGGUGGAAAGUUUUUCGGUUGGGGAUGGGCUCGCGGCCUAUCAGCUUGUUGGUGGGGUGAUGGCCUACCAAGGCGACGACGGGUAACCGGCCUGAGAGGGCGACCGGUCACACUGGGACUGAGACACGGCCCAGACUCCUACGGGAGGCAGCAGUGGGGAAUAUUGCGCAAUGGGCGGAAGCCUGACGCAGCGACGCCGCGUGAGGGAUGACGGCCUUCGGGUUGUAAACCUCUUUCAGCAGGGACGAAGCUAACGUGACGGUACCUGCAGAAGAAGCGCCGGCUAACUACGUGCCAGCAGCCGCGGUAAUACGUAGGGCGCAAGCGUUGUCCGGAAUUAUUGGGCGUAAAGAGCUCGUAGGCGGUUUGUCGCGUCUGUCGUGAAAGCCCACGGCUUAACCGUGGGUCUGCGGUGGAUACGGGCAGACUAGAGGCAGGUAGGGGAGAAUGGAAUUCCCGGUGUAGCGGUGAAAUGCGCAGAUAUCGGGAGGAACACCGGUGGCGAAGGCGGUUCUCUGGGCCUGUACUGACGCUGAGGAGCGAAAGCGUGGGGAGCGAACAGGAUUAGAUACCCUGGUAGUCCACGCCGUAAACGUUGGGCGCUAGGUGUGGGGUCCUUCCACGGAUUCCGCGCCGCAGCUAACGCAUUAAGCGCCCCGCCUGGGGAGUACGGCCGCAAGGCUAAAACU